rnacentral:rRNA from 1 species
AAACCAACUGGGAUUACCUUAGUAACGGCGAGUGAAGCGGUAAAAGCUCAAAUUUGAAAUCUGGUACUUUCAGUGCCCGAGUUGUAAUUUGUAGAAUUUGUCUUUGAUUAGGUCCUUGUCUAUGUUCCUUGGAACAGGACGUCAUAGAGGGUGAGAAUCCCGUUUGGCGAGGAUACCUUUUCUCUGUAAGACUUUUUCGAAGAGUCGAGUUGUUUGAGAAUGCAGCUCAAAGUGGGUGGUAAAUUCCAUCUAAAGCUAAAUAUUGGCGAGAGACCGAUAGCGAACAAGUACAGUGAUGGAAAGAUGAAAAGAACUUUGAAAAGAGAGUGAAAAAGUACGUGAAAUUGUUGAAAGGGAAGGGCAUUUGAUCAGACAUGGUGUUUUUUAAAUGUGCAAGUCUCUCGUGGACAUGUGCCUCUGGGAAAUUAACACUGGGCCAACAUCAGUUCUGGCGGCAGGAUAAAUCAUUAAGAAUGUAGCUACCUCGGUAGUGUUAUAGCUUUUUGGAAUACUGCC